GCCUGAAUAGCUCAGUAGGUUAGAGCGGCUGCCUUGUAAGCAGCAGGUCGUGGGUUCGAUUCCUACUUCAGGCA
rnacentral:tRNA from 1 species